rnacentral:rRNA from 2 species
GAAUGCUGACAUAAGUAACGAUAAAGCGGGUGAAAAGCCCGCUCGCCGGAAGACCAAGGGUUCCUGUCCAACGUUAAUCGGGGCAGGGUGAGUCGACCCCUAAGGCGAGGCCGAAAGGCGUAGUCGAUGGGAAACGGGUUAAUAUUCCCGUACUUGGUGUUACUGCGAAGGGGGGACGGAGAAGGCUAUGUUGGCCGGGCGACGGUUGUCCCGGUUUAAGCGUGUAGGUGUGUGUUCCAGGUAAAUCCGGUUCACUUUAACACUGAGGCGUGACGACGAGGCACUACGGUGCUGAAGCAACAAAUGCCCUGCUUCCAGGAAAAGCCUCUAAGCAUCAGGUAACAUCAAAUCGUACCCCAAACCGACACAGGUGGUCAGGUAGAGAAUACCAAGGCGCUUGAGAGAACUCGGGUGAAGGAACUAGGCAAAAUGGUGCCGUAACUUCGGGAGAAGGCACGCUGACACGUAGGUGAAGUGAUUUACUCAUGGAGCUGAAGUCAGUCGAAGAUACCAGCUGGCUGCAACUGUUUAUUAAAAACACAGCACUGUGCAAACACGAAAGUGGACGUAUACGGUGUGACGCCUGCCCGGUGCCGGAAGGUUAAUUGAUGGGGUCAGCGCAAGCGAAGCUCCUGAUCGAAGCCCCGGUAAACGGCGGCCGUAACUAUAACGGUCCUAAGGUAGCGAAAUUCCUUGUCGGGUAAGUUCCGACCUGCACGAAUGGCGUAAUGAUGGCCAGGCUGUCUCCACCCGAGACUCAGUGAAAUUGAACUCGCUGUGAAGAUGCAGUGUACCCGCGGCAAGACGGAAAGACCCCGUGAACCUUUACUAUAGCUUGACACUGAACAUUGAGCCUUGAUGUGUAGGAUAGGUGGGAGGCUUUGAAGCGUGGACGCCAGUCUGCGUGGAGCCGACCUUGAAAUACCACCCUUUAAUGUUUGAUGUUCUAACGUGGACCCGUGAUCCGGGUUGCGGACAGUGUCUGGUGGGUAGUUUGACUGGGGCGGUCUCCUCCUAAAGAGUAACGGAGGAGCACGAAGGUUGGCUAAUCCUGGUCGGACAUCAGGAGGUUAGUGCAAUGGCAUAAGCCAGCUUGACUGCGAGCGUGACGGCGCGAGCAGGUGCGAAAGCAGGUCAUAGUGAUCCGGUGGUUCUGAAUGGAAGGGCCAUCGCUCAACGGAUAAAAGGUACUCCGGGGAUAACAGGCUGAUACCGCCCAAGAGUUCAUAUCGACGGCGGUGUUUGGCACCUCGAUGUCGGCUCAUCACAUCCUGGGGCUGAAGUAGGUCCCAAGGGUAUGGCUGUUCGCCAUUUAAAGUGGUACGCGAGCUGGGUUUAGAACGUCGUGAGACAGUUCGGUCCCUAUCUGCCGUGGGCGCUGGAGAACUGAGGGGGGCUGCUCCUAGUACGAGAGGACCGGAGUGGACGCAUCACUGGUGUUCGGGUUGUCAUGCC